GAUGAACGCUAGCUACAGGCUUAACACAUGCAAGUCGAGGGACCGGCGCACGUGUGAGUAACACGUAUCCAUCCCGCCCUUUACUCGGUGAUAGCCUUUCGAAAGAACGAUUAAUACCCGAUGUAAAGGAUGGGGAUGCGUUUGAUUAGGUUGUGGGUGAGGUAACAGCUCACCAAGCCUUCGAUGGAUGGGGGUUCUGAGAGGAAGGUCCCCCACAGUGGAGCUGAGGCACAGGCCAAACACCGACGGGAGGCAGCGGUGAGGAAUAUAGGUCAAGGGGCGUUAGCCUGAACCAGCCAAGUAGCGGGAAGGAUGAAGGCUUUGUGGUCGUAAACUUGUUUGAUAGAAGAAUAGGUAUUAGAAGAAGAAGGAUCGGCUAACUCCGUGCCAGCAGCCGCGGUAAUUC
rnacentral:rRNA from 1 species